rnacentral:rRNA from 1 species
CAAUAGCGUAUAUUAAAGUUGUUGCAGUUAAAAGCUCGUAGUUGGACUUCUGAUGUGAAAGAUCGGUCCACCGCAAGGUGAGCACUGAUUCUUCGCGUCUUCCUCUCGUAGUUGUUUCGCGCACUUAGUUGGGUGCGAGAUGAAUAUGGGACCUUUACUUUGAAAAAUUAGAGUGUUCAAAGCAGGCAAUCGCUUGAAUACAUUAGCAUGGAAUAAUAGAAUAGGACUUUGGUUCUAUUUUGUUGGUUUCUAGGACCGAGGUAAUGAUUAAUAGGGACAGUUGGGGGCGAUUAUAUUUAAUUUAGUUCAGAGGUGGAAAUUACUUUGGUAGUUUAUUGAAAGAACUAACUACUGCGAAAGACAUUUGUCCAACGGAAGUGUUUUCUAUUAAUUACAAGAACGAAAGUUAAGGGGUAGUCGAAGACGAUCAGAUACCGU